CACGCCUGGCUGGAAAGCGGUUUUUAGAAAUGUAAGUUCUACUUUAUUAUAACAUAGGCUGUGCUUAAUUUUCUAUAAAAAGCAAUACUUUUUAGUAAAAGCAAGGACACUAUUGUCUCUAGGUAAAUGAAUGUCUCUUAACUAUGUAAUGUCUUUGUUAAUGGAUGGAUCCCCACUUGAUCAGGUUCUAGGAGAUUCAAGUAUUGGUUACACUUAAGUGUAUAAUUUGCAUAAUCACAACUGGAAAUCCAGGAAGGAAUGCCAUUCAUGAGAGAAGACAAGAGCUUUGUCAUUUCACUUUUGGAAAGCUUGCACUUUAAAUCUCAAGUGCACUGCAGGGUAGUUUCAGAGGUCAGAAGCACAAAUGCGUUUGGGCUGGGUCCAUGGCACAUACAUGUGGCGUAAGGGCUCUCAGGGGUCUUGCCCAGGCAUGGAAUCUUCUCAGGCUUGCCACGGUUGUGCACCUGUGUCUUCCCAAGCAACCUGUGGUUCCCUUGAACUUCAGCUACAGAGGUAUGAAGGAUUCCAGGCCAUGUCUUCAGCAGCUCCUGGAGCUGGCAGGAGUUGGUCAGGCAGUGCCCUAGUGCGGGAUGGGUAAGGGGGAGGAGAGGUCUGGCUGCAGGGGGUGCGAGGAGGUGGAGCCAGCCCACUUCUGCUGGAGCAGCAUCCUGGAGCUUACUCAGGCAGCCUGCAGGAAUGGUAGCAGUCUCCUCCUCUCAUGGGAGCCAAACCCAGACAGGCAGUGUGGCCCCUGACACAGACGAAGUAGGAAACAGGAGACUCCCCAGUGAUUAGCUGGCAUAUUAUCAAAUGCCCCCCAAAGUUGUCUUUCUCUCUAUGAGCUGCAUCUUAGCCCCAGCCUGAGAGACAAGUUUAUUGUCCUCGGGAUCAGGAAUGCGAAUGAGAUACCCACUGGUUUACAGAAUAUCCACCAAUUCUCCAUUUCCUGGGAAAUACAGGAAUGCAGGUCCCUGGCUAGGUACGAGCCUUAUUAAAUCAGAAUCUCUGGGCAGCAAAGCUGUGGCAUCUGCAUUUGUAAGCUACCAGAUGAUUUUUAUGCACACUCAAGUUUGAGAAAACCAAUAGACAGUGCUUCAAAACACCUAUUUAUGACUGGCUGAUCAUGUAACAACAAUAAUAAUAUAAUAAUAACCGGCACUUAUGUAGUGCUUAGUGAGGGCCAGGCAGUGAUCUAAGCACUCUACAUAAAAUAACUCAUUUACUUCCAUAACUACCUGGUGGGGUAGAAAUGAUUAUUGUCUUCAUUUUACAGAGAGCUCUUUAAAAAUAUAGGAUCCUAGCCCCACCCCCAGAAAAUCAGAUUUGGAACCUUCAGAAUAGAGCCUAGAGAUUUUAUUUAGCACGUUACCAGGUAUUGCCUGGUGAAGACCCAAGCUUAGGAACUGCUAAACUAGAAUUUGUAAGGGCUUACUGAGACAUUUCAGUAUCUCCUUUGCUGGGAGGCUGACGAUAGAAAGAGGAAUAAGACAAAGCCGGUGCCUUCAGAGAGCUCAGCAUGGCUGGGAAGAUGAAUGUACAAAAGCCAAUAAUCCGGAAGGAUAGUACCAUCCUAGGGUAAUACAAUGAGAAUAAUAUGCUAUAAUAGCAAUUAUUUUUCGAGAGGAAAAUAAGGAAGAACGAAAACCUCUGUGGAAAGCGAACAUGUGUAUGUGUCUCAGGCCAUUUACAAAGUGACUGUUCCAACACUCUGGAUUUUUACGUCCAAGGAAAAUCCUUAUCCAUCAGUUCAAAGAAACCUGAUUGUUUGAAACCAACAUAUAAACAGACUGUGGAUCUGCAAGAACUACAGUGAACUGUAGGCACUUCUGGCAAGCCAAAAGGGCAAGGCAGAUGUGGAAUGAGUAUAAUGACUUAGGGAGUAAGGCAGAUCCAAAUGUUGUUUAUGGUUACAGUAUGGAGUUUGUUUACAUGUAACUGAAAUUUUAUAGCAGUAAUAUAAUGUUGUCUUCCCUUAAAAUGAAAUUGAGUCAGUAGCCUUAGGAGAUGCUGUAGGUACAAAUGUAUCUCUUAAGUACUGAAAUAUUUGUCCUGUCUGGGAACCAGAACGGUAAUUGUAUUUUAUGAUACCACUUGCCACUAUUCUUUUAUUGGGCCUUCUCCACAUGACACUAAUAACAUUUAUUUAGCCAUUUAUAUCCCCACGAAACUGGAAGGGCAAUAGCCUUGUUUUAUUUCAUUUUUGUGGUGCUCAGCAACUGUUGUUGAAUUGUCAAAGUUUUAGUAAAG
rnacentral:lncRNA from 1 species